UACGUAGGGUGCAAGCGUUAAUCGGAAUUACUGGGCGUAAAGCGUGCGCAGGCGGUUUUAUAAGCCAGAUGUGAAAGCCCCGGGCUUAACCUGGGAAUGGCAUUUGGGGCUGCAAGGCUUGAGUGCGGCAGAGGAGACUGGAAUUCCUGGUGUAGCAGUGAAAUGCGUAGAUAUCAGGAGGAAUACCGAUGGCGAAGGCAGGUCUCUGGGCUGACACUGACGCUCAUGCACGAAAGCGUGGGGAGCAAACAGG
rnacentral:rRNA from 1 species